rnacentral:rRNA from 1 species
AUGAAUCCCGAAGCACCCGGGUGGAAUAAGAGGCUUAGGACUGGAGCUGCAGCACCAAGCAGGGGCGCCAUGCCCUACUCGGAUCAGUGCGUUCGAGAAGGCUAUGAGGUGUUUCGCAGAGAACCCGACAGAGAAUGUGAUCACACCUGUACUGUACUUGGCACCUCAUUCGACUUUGUGGGUGAGGCCUAUGACUUCUACAACCUGUAUUCAUGGGAAAAAGGUUUUGGCAUACGGUAUAGGAAGAUCCGGCUAAAUGUGGAGUGGACGAAAUGCAUGCAAGAUAUAUUCUGUGGUUGUGAGGGUAAAGCAGGUGUAGAGAACACAAGGCUCGUGCAGAUGUGA